CCUACGGGUGGCAGCAGUGAGGAAUAUUGGUCAAUGGGCGGGAGCCUGAACCAGCCAAGUCGCGUGAGGGAAGACGGUCCUAUGGAUUGUAAACCUCUUUAGGCGGGGAGCAAUGCCGGGCACGCGUGCCCGGAGGGAGAGUACCCGCCGAAUAAGCAUCGGCUAACUCCGUGCCAGCAGCCGCGGUAAUACGGAGGAUGCGAGCGUUAUCCGGAUUUAUUGGGCGUAAAGAGUUCGUAGGUGGCAUAUUAAGUCUGGUGUUAAAUGCAGAAGCUCAACUUCUGUUCGGCACUGGAUACUGGUAAGCUUGAAUGCGGUAGAGGUAAAGGGAAUUCCUGGUGUAGCGGUGAAAUGCGUAGAUAUCAGGAGGAACAUCGGUGGCGUAAGCGCUUUACUGGGCCGUAAUUGACACUGAGGAACGAAAGCCGGGGUAGCAAAUGGGAUUAGAUACCCGUGUAGUC
rnacentral:rRNA from 1 species